rnacentral:misc_RNA from 1 species
GAUGAAGAACGUAGCGAAAUGCGAUACUUGGUGUGAAUUGCAGAAUCCCGUGAACCAUCGAGUCUUUGAACGCAAGUUGCGCCCGAAGCCAUUAGGCCGAGGGCACGCCUGCCUGGGCGUCACACGUCGUUGCCCCCCCAUCUACUCCUUCGGGAUUGCGGGGGGCUGAUGAUGGCCUCCCGUGCGCCUCGUCGCGCGGUUGGCCUAAAUGCCAAGUCCUCGGCGACGCACGCCACGACAAUCGGUGGUUGCGAAACCUCGGUUGCCCGUCGUGUGCGGUCGUCGCGCAUCGAGGGCUCGAAAAAAUUGCCGGGCUUCGGCUCGACUUUCAACGCGACCCCAGGUCAGGCGGGGUUACCCGCUGAAUUUAAGCAUAUCAAUAAGCGGAGGA